rnacentral:hammerhead_ribozyme from 1 species
AUCCAACUGAAGAGUCCUAAACAAGACGAAACGCGAAUGCUGGAU